CGUCACGUUGCCAGCAUCAGUAAAACCAUACCCGCGAGCAGGCACGUACACACAAGUAAAUAGGAGAUGGUCGCGUGGGGUCCGCUGCAGCGGCGGCUGUUCGCCUACAUUGCUCGUCAUCCACAGUUCCAGCAGGCCGUAAGGAACGUGGGGCAGCGCGUGGCGGCUCACCCGACGUUUCAGAAAGCGAAACAAAGCGCGUACUCUGCGUUUGAGAGGGCGGGCACGAGAGCCGCUCGCGGUAGUAGUGUAUCAGGCGGGAAAGGGAAUGGUAGCACAGAGGAAUCGACGCUGAACGCAUGGAGGCGUAGGAUCAACAACGGCUGGCACAAGCACAAGGCUGGCGUAAUGAGCUUCAUCGCUGCGAACUUUAUGGCCAUUCUCAUAUUUGUUCAAGUCAGCCCAAUGCUGUGGCACUCCGUAAAGCGCGGCAUCCACUACCUUACCGACGCCCCGUCAAACGUUGAGGGAGAGCGCAAGGAGAAGCCCAGAAAGCGAAAAGCGGAGGCAGCAGAGGAGCAGUCCAGCUUCAAGGCGGAGGCCCCAAACGACACCAUGCGUGGCGCGGUUCUUCGAAGGGUACUGCCUCCUCAGACCCCCUGGGGAAGCUACACAGAGCACGGCGAACCGGCUUCGAGGCCGUCACAGUCUUGGCAGACAUCGUCUACACUCUUCGACGACACUGUUGGCACGAAGCAGCAACCAGAUGCUCAGCAGUCGUUUAACGAGAUGCACAAGGAUGUGUUUCGCACUCCGGACGGCAGCGCACAAAUCAACUUCGACACAUCCUUUCUGGUGAAAAUGGGUGACGAGACCACGUUCACAUCCUCUCUAGAGAGAGAAACACUGACGGGCAGUGUGUCCUCUCACUCACUUUAAGUUUGCUGCGCCGUCCUCCCCCCCGCCCCUUCAACACUCUCUGUUCCUUUUCUCUUACCACCGACCUCCGUAGCUCUCGCUCUAGGUGUUCUCACAUAACAAUUUGACUUCGUUCCAUUCCGCCUUUUGCUCGUUAUCUGCGGCGGCAGCCUAAUCGUUCUUUCGAGGUUGCUUAGUAGCCGAAGAGCAGUAC
rnacentral:misc_RNA from 1 species